rnacentral:rRNA from 1 species
UACGUAGGGUGCAAGCGUUGUCCGGAAUUAUUGGGCGUAAAGAGCUCGUAGGCGGUCUGUCGCGUCGAAUGUGAAAACCCGGGGCUCAACUCCGGGCUUGCAUUCGAUACGGGCAGGCUAGAGUUCGGUAGGGGAGUCUGGAAUUCCUGGUGUAGCGGUGAAAUGCGCAGAUAUCAGGAGGAACACCGGUGGCGAAGGCGGGACGCUGGGCCGAUACUGACGCUGAGGAGCGAAAGCGUGGGGAGCGAACAGG